rnacentral:lncRNA from 12 species
GCCUGAACAGGACCCUGUCCCAAGGCGGUGUGCUAAGGACUAAGGAGAUCACGCGCGGCACAGUCCUAGCCCGGUGCCUGGCACGCAGUAAGCACGUCAUCGGCCUUAGUUACAAUUACCCUCUGUGAAAACCUUGGAUGUCCCUUCUUCUCCCCGUGUCCCAUGCCCGUCUCCAUUCCUGAUAAGAAUCAAAGGGGCGCGUGUUGCUGAAAUUCCUCACCCCGGUGCUGUUUUAGUAGCUCACGCACUAGCCCCCGAUGCCCUUUGUGACCUUAGGGAUGAAACAGCUUGGUGGCUCAGAGCAGCUCUUUCUUCUCAGCUCUAUUUUGUUCUGGAUAUAGCUGUUCUAUUCACACACCUUGCAAUCUGUGAAGUUAAAAUUAACCUAUUUGCCAACCUGCGUCUCAGUGAGAAACUGAAAAAUUACACCUUCUCUACGCACUAGACAGUGUUUUCUAGUGCAUCUUUGCUGAGGAAUAUGUUAAAGGAAGAGAUGGCUUAAAGGGAAAAGACUGAGUUCUCUCUGCGCUGGGUUUAUUCCCUUGGAAGAGUACUCUGCAAAUGUCAAAAGCUGGAUUGAGAGAACAGGAUGUGACAUGGAAGUCGCUCAGUUGUGUCUCCACACACGUUUUUGAGAUGGGGAAUCAAAGUGUGCCAGUGUAACUGUCAGAUUUGGGCAUAUGGAACAAUCUAAGGAAUCUGACUCUUUCCAGUAACAAGUUUAGCAACUUCCUUUUAAGAGAGAGAGAAAGAAAAACACUCACUGCACUCGCAACCAAUGGUGAUCUUCAGUCAACAGUUCAGAGGGGUCCACUUUUCCACGUUGCAUCUGAGCUGGCAUUUCCCCGGCUCUGGGAAGGAGGAGCGCGGCUGACCUGGGCCUUGUGGCUCUUCGAUCUGAGGCGCCCUGGACUGCGUUGGUGGGCUUCUGCCUCCCGAUCACUGCAGAGCCAUGCGAGGUUUUGGAUCGCAGCUUCUCGAACCCUUGGAGGGCGAAGCCAAUUGUCCGGACAUCAUUCUUCGGGGUCAGAUUGCCUCACAAACAACUCGAGUUCUACUUCUUGGAUAAUUCCCGAAACUGGUUUUCUAAUAACUUCAGGUGAGAACAAAUUAUUAUUAUUAUUAUUAUUAUUAUUAUUAUUAAUUAUUAUUAAUUUUUCCUCUUAAAUCAAGUAAAUCCCCAGUCUUCAAAAACAGGUUGCUAUCUGUUGGAUGGAAGUUUUGGAAGUCGUUCAGUCCGUGUCCUAAUAAACGCGACAAGCUUUUUAUUUCA